GAUGAACGCUAGCGGGAGGCCUAACACAUGCAAGCCGAGCGGUAUUGUUUCUUCGGAAAUGAGAGAGCGGCGUACGGGUGCGGAACACGUGUGCAACCUGCCUUUAUCUGGGGGAUAGCCUUUCGAAAGGAAGAUUAAUACUCCAUAACAUAUUGAUUGGCAUCAAUUAAUAUUGAAAGCUCCGGCGGAUAGAGAUGGGCACGCGCAAGAUUAGCUAGUUGGUGAGGUAACGGCUCACCAAGGCGAUGAUCUUUAGGGGGCCUGAGAGGGUGAUCCCCCACACUGGUACUGAGACACGGACCAGACUCCUACGGGAGGCAGCAGUGAGGAAUAUUGGUCAAUGGGUGCAAGCCUGAACCAGCCAUCCCGCGUGAAGGACGACUGCCCUAUGGGUUGUAAACUUCUUUUGUAUAGGGAUAAACCUACCCUCGUGAGGGUAGCUGAAGGUACUAUACGAAUAAGCACCGGCUAACUCCGUGCCAGCAGCCGCGGUAAUACGGAGGGUGCAAGCGUUAUCCGGAUUUAUUGGGUUUAAAGGGUCCGUAGGCGGACUUAUAAGUCAGUGGUGAAAGCCUGUCGCUUAACGAUAGAACUACCAUUGAUACUGUAAGUCUUGAGUAUAUUUGAGGUAGCUGGAAUAAGUAGUGUAGCGGUGAAAUGCAUAGAUAUUACUUAGAACACCAAUUGCGAAGGCGGGUUACCAAGAUAUAACUGACGCUGAGGGACGAAAGCGUGGGGAGCGAACAGGACUAGAUACCCUGGUAGUCCACGCCGUAAACGAUGCUAACUCGUUUUUGGGCUUUAGGGUUCAGAGACCAAGCGAAAGUGAUAAGUUAGCCACCUGGGGAGUACGCUCGCAAGAGUGAAACUCAAAGGAAUUGACGGGGGCCCGCACAAGCGGUGGAUUAUGUGGUUUAAUUCGAUGAUACGCGAGGAACCUUACCAAGACUUAAAUGGGAAUUGACAGCUUUAGAAAUAGAGCUUUCUUCGGACAAUUUUCAAGGUGCUGCAUGGUUGUCGUCAGCUCGUGCCGUGAGGUGUUAGGUUAAGUCCUGCAACGAGCGCAACCCCUGUCACUAGUUGCCAUCAUUCAGUUGGGGACUCUAGUGAGACUGCCUACGCAAGUAGAGAGGAAGGUGGGGAUGACGUCAAAUCAUCACGGCCCUUACGUCUUGGGCCACACACGUAAUACAAUGGCCGGUACAGAGGGCAGCUACACAGCGAUGUGAUGCAAAUCUCGAAAGCCGGUCUCAGUUCGGAUUGGAGUCUGCAACUCGACUCUAUGAAGCUGGAAUCGCUAGUAAUCGCGCAUCAGCCAUGGCGCGGUGAAUACGUUCCCGGGCCU
rnacentral:rRNA from 1 species